CACGGAGGGGGCUAGCGUUGUUCGGAAUUACUGGGCGUAAAGCGCACGUAGGCGGCGCGUCAAGUCAGGGGUGAAAGGCCUGGGCUCAACCUGGGAACGGCCUUUGAUACUGGCGUGCUGGAGUCCGGAAGAGGGUGGCGGAAUUCCCAGUGUAGAGGUGAAAUUCGUAGAUAUUGGGAAGAACACCGGUGGCGAAGGCGGUCACCUGGUCCGGGACUGACGCUGAGAUACGAAAGCGUGGGGAGCAAACAGG
rnacentral:rRNA from 1 species